CUGGAGGUAUCAGAAGUGCGAAUGCUGACAUAAGUAACGAUAAAGCGGGUGAAAAGCCCGCUCGCCGGAAGACCAAGGGUUCCUGUCCAACGUUAAUCGGGGCAGGGUGAGUCGACCCCUAAGGCGAGGCCGAAAGGCGUAGUCGAUGGGAAACAGGUUAAUAUUCCUGUACUUGGUGUUACUGCGAAGGGGGGACGGAGAAGGCUAUGUUGGCCGGGCGACGGUUGUCCCGGUUUAAGCGUGUAGGCUGGUUUUCCAGGCAAAUCCGGAAAAUCAAGGCUGAGGCGUGAUGACGAGGCACUACGGUGCUGAAGCAACAAAUGCCCUGCUUCCAGGAAAAGCCUCUAAGCAUCAGGUAACAUCAAAUCGUACCCCAAACCGACACAGGUGGUCAGGUAGAGAAUACCAAGGCGCUUGAGAGAACUCGGGUGAAGGAACUAGGCAAAAUGGUGCCGUAACUUCGGGAGAAGGCACGCUGAUAUGUAGGUGAAGUCCCUUGCGGAUGGAGCUGAAAUCAGUCGAAGAUACCAGCUGGCUGCAACUGUUUAUUAAAAACACAGCACUGUGCAAACACGAAAGUGGACGUAUACGGUGU
rnacentral:rRNA from 1 species